ACGGCUCAGUAACACGUGGCUAACCUACCCUUGGGACGGAGGCAACCCCGGGAAACUGGGAUUAAUUCUCGAUAGGUGAGGAUGCCUGGAAUGGCUCCUCUCACAAAGGACGUUGAAAGCACGCUUUUUAACGUCGCCCAAGGAUGGGGCCGCGGUCGAUCAGGUUGUUGGUGGGGUAAUGGCUCACCAAGCCUAUAACCGGUACGGGCCAUGAGAGUGGGAGCCCGGAGAUGGGCACUGAGAUAAGGGCCCAGGCCUUAAGGGGUGCAGCAGUUGCGAAAACUCCGCAAUGCGCGAAAGCGUGGCGGGGCUAUCCCGAGUGCCGUCCGCUGAGGAUGGCUUUUCUCUGCUGUAAUGAGGCGGAGGAAUAAGGAGAGGGCAAGACUGGUGUCAGCCGCCGCGGUAAUACCAGCUCUCCGAGUGGUAGGGAUGAUUAUUGGGCUUAAAGCGUUCGUAGCCGGCCCAGCAAGUCUUUCGUUAAAUCCAGCGACCUAAUCGUUGGCCUGCGGGAGAUACUGUUGGGCUAGGAGGCGGGAGAAGCCGACGGUAUUCUUGGGGUAGGGGUGAAAUCCAGUAAUCCCAGGAGGACCACCAGUGGCGAAGGCGGUCGGCUAGAACGCACUCGACGGUGAGGGACGAAAGCUGGGGGAGCGAACCGGAUUAGAUACCCGGGUAGUCCCAGCCGUAAACGAUGCGGGCUAGGUGU
rnacentral:rRNA from 1 species